UACGUAGGGGGCAAGCGUUGUCCGGAUUUAUUGGGCGUAAAGAGCUCGUAGGCGGUUUGGUAAGUCUGGUGUGAAAUCUCCACGCUCAACGUGGAGGGGCCACCCGAUACUGCCAUGACUGGAGUCCGGUAGAGGAGUGUGGAAUUCCCGGUGUAGCGGUGAAAUGCGCAGGAUAUCGGGAGGAACACCGGUGGCGAAGGCGGGUCUCUGGGCAAUGAACUGACGCUGAGGAGCGAAAGCGUGGGGAGCGAACAGG
rnacentral:rRNA from 1 species